rnacentral:rRNA from 1 species
GAUGNGGGGCAGGCCUACANUGCAAGUCGAGCGGAUGAGAGGAGCUUGCUCCCUGAUUUAGCGGCGGACGGGUGAGUAAUGCCUAGGAAUCUGCCUGGUAGUGGGGGAUAACGUUCCGAAAGGAACGCUAAUACCGCAUACGUCCUACGGGAGAAAGCAGGGGACCUUCGGGCCUUGCGCUAUCAGAUGAGCCUAGGUCGGAUUAGCUAGUUGGUGAGGUAAUGGCUCACCAAGGCGACGAUCCGUAACUGGUCUGAGAGGAUGAUCAGUCACACUGGAACUGAGACACGGUCCAGACUCCUACGGGAGGCAGCAGUGGGGAAUAUUGGACAAUGGGCGAAAGCCUGAUCCAGCCAUGCCGCGUGUGUGAAGAAGGUCUUCGGAUUGUAAAGCACUUUAAGUUGGGAGGAAGGGCAUUAACCUANUACNUUAUUGUUUUG